UCUACAUCAUCCUUGCUUCUCCCAUGGUGAUCUGUGAGUAAUUCACCACAGACCUACGGUUCCAUAGUUAGUAUCUAGAUCUCUCUCUCUCUCUUUUUCUCUUGAUGUUCAAUACAAUGAUCAUCACAUAUUCACUUUGAUCUAUCCAAUGUAUUUCUUUUGUGCGCUGCAUUUGUUGGGAUCCGAUGAAUUGUGGGUUUAUGUUCAGAUUAUUCAUGAUAAAUAUUUGAGUCUUCU
rnacentral:lncRNA from 1 species